CAGAACCCUCGUCGUCCCUCCUUUCCACCCAAAACACGUUGUCUCCGUUUUGAGCGCAGGUCCUUGCGGCGGCGCUGCGUUCUGCACCCGCGGUGAUUGGAAUAGUGGAGGAUUUCGGGCUAGAGUUGCUCCAUGCCGUUGACAUGCUAGUUCCUGCAGAUCCGCAAAUAGUUUUCUAGGAUUUAUUCUGCAGUCUGUCUAACGAACGGACCUUGGUGGCGGCCAUUGUUGUCUUUUUUCAGGUUCCAUUACGAGAGGAGUUCUCUGACAACCUUGAGCAACCAAAUCCGGUUUCUCUCUUGUUGCCCAACAAAGGAGCCGGCCUUGCUGUUCCUGAAGACUCGAAUGUUGGAUCUGGGUGCGCUCAGCAGCUCGACGGUGAUGGGACUGAAAGGGCAGGAGCUGGCGGCCGCCGUCGUCAGGAACUUAGGAUGCAUCUCCGACAAGGUCGGCGCAACCGACUGACAUAGUCAACCCAGAGGCACCAGGCUGGACUAAUAGGUUAUGGCUGGGCUGUGCGCCACCAGACAGGACAUCAUGACCCUCUCGGAUGAGCGCUCUAGAGAAAUUGAUUCGCAACACAGAGGAACCUACAAAGAAUUUAGUACGCCCUACCCGAGUUUUGAUUCAGUUGGUGAGGCAUACGACUUCUACAAUCUAUAUUCUUGGGAUGUCUUUGGUAUCAGAUUUGGUAAAAGCAAACUAAAUGCCGAGAGAACGAAAUGCAUGCAGGAGAUCGUAUGUGGUUGCUCGUAGGUCAUGCAGAUGCGAGUGUCCAGUGCUGGUUAGGUUGUCGCGUACGACGGACAACAGCUGGUACAUCACAGAGCACCGUGAAAGCCUCAACCAUUCAAUGUCCUUAACAAUGGGUGAGAAGGUACACUGGCCGUCACACAAGCACAUCGACGCAUACACAAGAUUUAAUAAAGCAACUUAGGGAAAACAAUUUGAACCUUGGGUAGGUGUACAACAUAAUUGGGAGCUUCUUUGGUUCGGUCAAGAAGGUGCCCUUCAUGAAGAAGACCCUAAGAAAUAUUUGCAGGAAGAUAAGAGAUAAGCCACGAAUCACACUUUGAAGACAUACAUGCCUCCGUCAAGCCCAAUGCAUGUUUUUGUCGGGCAUUACAUGAGGUUACAGUUUGACCAUGAGCGUUAGGAAAGCUACCAGGAGAAGAGGAUGAUGAUUGGUGGAGUUGACAGGAGGACCAAUUUGGCGAUAGAGCGACAUGCAAGUAAAAUUUACACCAGGGCUAUGUUUAAGGAGUUUGGUCACCUCCUAAUCGAAGGGACGUUGUACAAUGUCAAGGAAGUAGAGAAGAUGAGGGAAUAUGUUAUAAAGCACAACAAUGUAGCUAAAAUGAAAAAAUGGAGCAGAGGAUCAGUCAGAGUUUACGUGCGAGUGUGGCCAGUUCAAGCAUACUGGGAUGUCAUGCAGCCAUGUCUUAAGGGUAACUAAACCUGACAAAAAAAUUGCUGCACACAAAUUGAAUUUCUGUACAAGAAAUUUAAACAUAGCGUAAUGCACGGGUCAUGGAUAUACUUCAUCUGGAGAUCCCUGUGAAGAAUAUACUCAAGCGGUGGACCAAGGACGCGAGGGACAUGCUUCCCCAACACCUGGUUCAGUGUAUCAGAAGGACAAUUCAGUUAACUUGUCGUUCUCAUGCAGGAACUCGAUGUUAUAUCUAAAAGCCAUGGAAGUCUUGCAGAUGGGCGAUUCGAAUGCAGAAUAAUUCAAGCACACUUUUGCUGGUCUGGAAGCUUUGUUGGUGAGUGUCGCACCUUUAGCUGAGAAGAGGGAUGAUUUGGGGUUUGAGGAUCGGUAGCAGGUUUGGCCACUGGUAGAUUGCCUGGCAAUGGAGAGGUUGCGUUUGUGUGGGGCGACGGUGCUGACAAAUGCAAUAGUGGGGGGAAAUCUGUGUGAAUGCCCUUGAAGGUCUAGCAGCUCCAUAUAAGCAUAGUGGGGUCAGCAGACUGAGUAAUAGCAGUGACAAGGCGCGUUACGAGGGUCUGAGUAAAUGUACCAGGUUCUUCAAUGUUUGUCGGCGCGAGGGGCACAAGCGAACUACUUGUCCCGAAACAGGAGAUGCCACCAAGAAACCACGGAAGCCAGGUAAAUGCAAGAAUUGCGGCAUGGAAGGGCAUCGCCGGAACACUUGUGCGAGGCCGCUCGGUGCUGCUGAGAAAUGAGUUCUGAAGUUUUAAUUUGUAAUCUGUAUUGUAGUACCUUUUAGGAUUUUCUAGUGUUUCAGUGAGCAUUGCUCCAUGGUUGUUCCUCAAUUACCAGAGGCAUAUUACAUAUUGUACCAGUAGAGUACCAAGUUUGAUAAUGUUCAUCUGUACUAAAUUUGGUUUA